rnacentral:tRNA from 1 species
GGUCUCGUACCUCAAUUGGCUAGAGUGUUGGCUGUAAUAAAGCCUUCCCCUUGCUGGCGUGGGUUCGAGUCCCACUGAGAUCA